rnacentral:rRNA from 1 species
UUUAUGGAGAGUUUGAUCCUGGCUCAGGAUGAACGCUGGCGGCGUGCCUAAUACAUGCAAGUCGAGCGAACGGACGAGAAGCUUGCUUCUCUGAUGUUAGCGGCGGACGGGUGAGUAACACGUGGAUAACCUACCUAUAAGACUGGGAUAACUUCGGGAAACCGGAGCUAAUACCGGAUAAUAUUUUGAACCGCAUGGUUCAAAAGUGAAAGACGGUCUUGCUGUCACUUAUAGAUGGAUCCGCGCUGCAUUAGCUAGUUGGUAAGGUAACGGCUUACCAAGGCAACGAUGCAUAGCCGACCUGAGAGGGUGAUCGGCCACACUGGAACUGAGACACGGUCCAGACUCCUACGGGAGGCAGCAGUAGGGAAUCUUCCGCAAUGGGCGAAAGCCUGACGGAGCAACGCCGCGUGAGUGAUGAAGGUCUUCGGAUCGUAAAACUCUGUUAUUAGGGAAGAACAUAUGUGUAAGUAACUGUGCACAUCUUGACGGUACCUAAUCAGAAAGCCACGGCUAACUACGUGCCAGCAGCCGCGGUAAUACGUAGGUGGCAAGCGUUAUCCGGAAUUAUUGGGCGUAAAGCGCGCGUAGGCGGUUUUUUAAGUCUGAUGUGAAAGCCCACGGCUCAACCGUGGAGGGUCAUUGGAAACUGGAAAACUUGAGUGCAGAAGAGGAAAGUGGAAUUCCAUGUGUAGCGGUGAAAUGCGCAGAGAUAUGGAGGAACACCAGUGGCGAAGGCGACUUUCUGGUCUGUAACUGACGCUGAUGUGCGAAAGCGUGGGGA